UAGGGAAUCUUCGGCAAUGGGGGCAACCCUGACCGAGCAACGCCGCGUGAGUGAAGAAGGUUUUCGGAUCGUAAAGCGCUGUUGUAAGUCAAGAACGGGUGUGAGAGUGGAAAGUUCACACUGUGACGGUAGCUUACCAGAAAGGGACGGCUAACUACGUGCAAGCAGCCGCGGUAAUACGUAGGUCCCGAGCGUUGUCCGGGAUUAUUGGGCGUAAAGCGGGCGCAGGCGGUUUGAUAAGUCUGAAGUUAAAGACUGUGGCUCAACCAUAGUUCGCUUUGGAAACUGUCAAGCUUGAGUGCAGAAAGGGAGAGUGGAAUUCCAUGUGUAGCGGUGAAAUGCGUGGAUAUAUGUAGGGACGCCGGUGGCGAGAGCAGCUCUCUGGUCUGUACCUGACGCUGAGGCUCGAAAGCGUGGGGAGCGAACAGG
rnacentral:rRNA from 1 species